GGGAGUCCGUUUGAUGCCCCUUUGCAUUCCAAUCACAAAGCUCAUCUUAGCAAUGUGGAGCAUCUUUCCAUGUGCCUGAUGGCUACCCAUGCCUUCUUUGGAGAAAUGUUCUGCACUGCUGACUGUGCCUCUAGGCAAAAUCCAGCAACCACCAGGCUCACGGACGUGUUUCCUUCUUCUGGGACAACUUGUCAUGAUCUUUUCCUAUCGUCCUGUGUCUGAAAAGGCAGUCACUAAAUGGAUAUUGUCCAGCCAGAAUGUUUUUGGGUGUCAUGGACCAUUCUGCCUGGAAAAGAGUUUGGGACUUUCAACCUACCCAUUUCAGCUUGAAUACCCACAUAAGGUAUGGAUGUGAGAGUUGGACCAUCAAGAAAGACUGAGCACUAAAGAAUUGAUGUUUUUGAACUGGGGUGCUGGAGAAGACUCUUGACAGUCCCUUGGACUGCAAAGAGAUCAAACCAGUCAAUCCUAAAGGAAAUCAACCCUGAAUAUUCAUUGGAAGGACUGAUGCUGAAGCUGAAGCUCCAAUACUUUGGCAAUCGGAUGCGAAGAGCUGACUCAUUGGAGAAGACCCUGAUGCUGGGAAAGAUUGAGGGCAAAAGGAGAAGAGGGUGGCAGAGGAUGAGACGGUUAGAUAGCAUCACUGACUCAAUGGACAUGAGUUUGAGCAAACUCCGGCAGAUAGUGAAGGACAGGAAAGCCUGGUGUGCUGCAGUCCACGGGGUCACCAAG
ensembl:lncRNA